GACGAACGCUGGCGGCGUGCCUAAUACAUGCAAGUAGAACGCUGAAGGAGGAGCUUGCUUCUCUGGAUGAGUUGCGAACGGGUGAGUAACGCGUAGGUAACCUGCCUGGUAGCGGGGGAUAACUAUUGGAAACGAUAGCUAAUACCGCAUAAGAGUAGAUGUUGCAUGACAUUUGCUUAAAAGGUGCAAUUGCAUCACUACCAGAUGGACCUGCGUUGUAUUAGCUAGUUGGUGGGGUAACGGCUCACCAAGGCGACGAUACAUAGCCGACCUGAGAGGGUGAUCGGCCACACGGGAACUGAGACACGGCCCAGACUCCUACGGGAGGCAGCAGUGGGGAAUAUUGGACAAUGGGCGGAAGCCUGACCGAGAAACGCCGCGUGGGUGAAGAAGGUUUUCGGGUUGUAAAGCUCUUUUGGAGGGGAAGAAGGGGGUAAAGAGAGGAAAUUUACACAUUGGGGGUAACCGAACAAGAAGGGGGGGGUAACCCCGUG
rnacentral:rRNA from 1 species